UGGGGAAUAUUGCACAAUGGGCGCAAGCCUGAUGCAGCCAUGCCGCGUGUGUGAAGAAGGCCUUCGGGUUGUAAAGCACUUUCAGCGAGGAGGAAGGUGGUGAACUUAAUACGUUCAUCAAUUGACGUUACUCGCAGAAGAAGCACCGGCUAACUCCGUGCCAGCAGCCGCGGUAAUACGGAGGGUGCAAGCGUUAAUCGGAAUUACUGGGCGUAAAGCGCACGCAGGCGGUUUGUUAAGUCAGAUGUGAAAUCCCCGGGCUCAACCUGGGAACUGCAUUUGAAACUGGCAAGCUAGAGUCUCGUAGAGGGGGGUAGAAUUCCAGGUGUAGCGGUGAAAUGCGUAGAGAUCUGGAGGAAUACCGGUGGCGAAGGCGGCCCCCUGGACGAAGACUGACGCUCAGGUGCGAAAGCGUGGGGAGCAAAACAGGAUUAGAUACCCUGGUAGUCCACGCUGUAAACGAUGUCGAUUUUGGAGGUUGUGCCCUUGAGGCGUGGCUUCCGGAGCUAACGCGUUAAAUCGACCGCCUGGGGAGUACGGCCGCAAGGUUAAAACUCAAAGGAAUUGACGGGGUC
rnacentral:rRNA from 1 species